AAAGUCGUAACAAGGUUUCCGUAGGUGAACCUGCGGAAGGAUCAUUACCAAAAAUCCUUUAUAUCAACCACUUGUGAAUGUGUCUUCGUCCUUGGGGGAGGCUGUUUAAAAAAAGAAAAGCUAACAGGUUCAAUCCUGUUAUGUUCUCCUUCUUUUACUCGCUCCCUCAACAGCAAUGCGCUUAAAACACGCAUUGUUGUUAAAACUUUUAACCACUUUUUAAACUUUCAGUUGAAAACAUAACCCUUUAUCUCGCUCUAACGAACGACUUAAAGAAAAACCAAAAGACAACUUUUAACGGUGGAUCUCUUGGCUCAU
rnacentral:misc_RNA from 1 species